rnacentral:lncRNA from 1 species
GAUGGAGUGGCCCUGGCCCUGAGUCACUUCUUCCAAAUGAAUUGAGCUGUCUUCUGCAAGCAAGAGCAUCUGCCGAGCUCCUGAGCACCUCCUGACAGACAGCACUGGGAAGCACCAGCUGAAAGAAAUUCCAAAAGCUGACCAAGAUCCAGGCAGUUAUCCCAGAGGGGAUCUUCACCAGAACGCAGUUGUGUUGGGAGGCACUGUUUCAAAGAGAGGACGCACGACAUAAAAGCGAUGUUUGCCGCUCCACUUCAGAGAGCUCCUGUUUGAGUUCAGGAGGGAUAAGAGGGAAAGUCGGGGCCGCUGCCGGGGAGCAGGCGAGGUGAGCGCGGGCGGCAGCGGGGUGGGCUCAGGACGGGGGUGAGAGCAACCAGCAGCAGCGCACCGAGCCGUGGGUGGGAAAGGAGAAUCAGGUCCGUAGGUGGGGAGCAGGAAGGCGAGGGGAGUGGGCUAACAAGAGGACUGGGGCUCGUGGCUCGCCAGCUGGCACGCAACGAGCAGCUGCUGCUGUGUCAGCCCGGCCGAGGGCUGCAGCUGCACGCUGGCCUUGAAUAGCGGAGCAGCAGCGUGCCGGCUGGCUGCUGGAGGGACAGGAGUUCAAUGGGCAGGGGGGGUCUGUGAAAGGUUUGGGAGCAGGGGAACACGACGGCCCUUUGAUUUCGGAGCUGUUUGUUCUGGGAUUGUCCACUCUCGCGGAUGAGCGGUGCUCCAGAGUUAAAAUGGGGAAAGGGGGAGGGAGAGAAGCAGAAGGGAAAGUGAGGUCUUCAGCGCAGAGCCGGGCUUUGAGAGCAUAUCCACAGCGUGCAGUUGUCUGGAUGUACGGCUUUCAUAGUUGUCAGCAGGGAUCAGAGACACAGGGUGCUUAAAGCAGAGGGGAAAUCUCUGCGUGCUCACAGAGUGCCUAAGCCACCGCUGGAGGAGGGCAGGACCCCAGCAUCGGCCAUCUGCUCCCGCACCGCGUGUUGCAAUGCUCCCAGUGAGCCCGGGGCUCCCGGCAGCCCUGGGGCUUGACAUGAGUGCGAGUGCUACAGCACAGCCAGGGUGCUCCCAGCCCGUGCCCUGCUCCACUGCUGGCACCAACCUCAUUCCGUGUGCACACAGCAUCUGUACACCUCCACAGCUGUGGGUGAUCCCACCCUGUGCAGUCUUCUGCAGUUACGCCCAAGCUAUGCGUACUCCUGCAGUUGUGUGGGUGCACCCACCCCAAGCACUUCUCCAUCAGUGCGCGUGCAGCCUACGUGCUCCUCCACGAGUGUGGGCACACAUUUCCCACACGUUCUCCUACGGCCAAAGGUGUACCCGCCCUGCGUGCUCCUCCACAGCCAUGCAGGGCCACCCAGCUGUUUGCACACAAACAUCAGUGCACGGACCUCACGAGUGUGGCUGCACAUAUCCCUUGCGGGAUGCACACGGGGCUCCUCCAUAGGGUUCUCCAUGGCUACACAUGCAGGCAGGUGGGGUGCGUGUAAGCGUUGCUGCUUGCUCUGUGCACGCUCCUGCACGGCCGUGCUUUCACCCUACAUGAGCACAGAACACCCUGCCUACUCCCCCAUAGACCCCACCUGCUUGCACAGUAGUGCGGGUGCUUGCAUUCAUUGUGCGUGCCGCCCCACGGCCACGCGUUCACCCUACUGCACACAAGCGCGGAUGCACGGACCUUGCGCAUUCGCCCACAGCCACGCGCACGCCCCGUCUGCUUGCACACGAGCGUGAGCGCACGCAUCCCGUAGAGCUGCCCCACGGCCCCGCACGCAGACAUACAGCCUGCGGGGCAGAAGCGGAGCACGGCGCACAGCGGGAGGACUCCCCCCCCCCCCGCCUCCCUCCCUUUAAGAGCCGCCGCGGGCCCGGCGCUGGCCCCACCCGCUGGGCCGCGGGGCCGGGCCGUCCCCCUCAUUA